ACAAUAUCAAAUCUAUCUGGAGACCUAUUGCAACUAAUGCUACUUCUUCUGAAGAAAGCUCAAUAGCGGCUACGACAGUUGAGUAAGGCGCUAUCUCAAAUGAGCAUCUCAUGAAGGUAGCUGCAUAUGAGGUUCAGAACCAGCAGUUUGUGAUGAACAAUGAUGGUUAUGUGAUGCACAGUGAGAACGAGGGUAUCUUCUAGGUUUAGUCAUACCAAGCCAUGUUACUUUCUUCAUAAAACAAGAUUGUUAUCCUCUGGAACUUCGAUUAUCGCUCGAGCAGCAGCACCUGUUACUGAUGUGCAGGAUGGUAAUCAAGGUGAGGCUGAUACCGUUCCGACCCCGAUAGUUAUAAUUGACCAAGACUCUGAUCCAAAUGCAACUGUGGUGAAGAUAACUUUUGGUGACCGGCUUGGAGCUCUUCUUGACACAGUAUGCUAUUUUCUUAGUAUAUUUUUGUCUGCUUAUCUGUUGAUUUUCUUAGACAAUAAUAUUGUUAUAUUGUCGAUAUA